rnacentral:rRNA from 1 species
GAUGAACGCUGGCGGCGUGCCUAAUACAUGCAAGUCGAGCGAACAGAUAAGGAGCUUGCUCCUUUGAAGUUAGCGGCGGACGGGUGAGUAACACGUGGGUAACCUACCUAUAAGACUGGGAUAACUUCGGGAAACCGGAGCUAAUACCGGAUAAUAUUUAGAACCGCAUGGUUCUAAAGUGAAAGAUGGUUUUGCUAUCACUUAUAGAUGGACCCGCGCCGUAUUAGCUAGUUGGUAAGGUAACGGCUUACCAAGGCGACGAUACGUAGCCGACCUGAGAGGGUGAUCGGCCACACUGGAACUGAGACACGGUCCAGACUCCUACGGGAGGCAGCAGUAGGGAAUCUUCCCGCAUGGGCGAAAGCCUGACGGAGCAACGCCGCGUGAGUGAUGAAAGGGUUUCGGCUCGUAAAACUCUGUUAUUAGGGAAGAAACAAUGUGUAAGUAACUGUGCACAUCUUGACGGUACCCUAUCAGAAAGCCACGGCUAACUACGUGCCAGCAGCCGCGGUAAUACGUAGGUGGCAAGCGUUAUCCGGAAUUAUUGGGCGUAAAGCGCGCGUAGGCGGUUUCUUAAGUCUGAUGUGAAAGCCCACGGCUCAACCGUGGAGGGUCAUUGGAAACUGGGAAACUUGAGUGCGGAAGAGGAAAGUGGAAUUCCAUGUGUAGCGGUGAAAUGCGCAGAGAUAUGGAGGAACACCAGUGGCGAAGGCGACUUUCUGGUCUGUAACUGACGCUGAUGUGCGAAAGCGUGGGGAUCAAACAGGAUUAGAUACCCUGGUAGUCCACGCCGUAAACGAUGAGUGCUAAGUGUUAGGGGGUUUCCGCCCCUUAGUGCUGCAGCUAACGCAUUAAGCACUCCGCCUGGGGAGUACGACCGCAAGGUUGAAACUCAAAGGAAUUGACGGGGACCCGCACAAGCGGUGGAGCAUGUGGUUUAAUUCGAAGCAACGCGAAGAACCUUACCAAAUCUUGACAUCCUUUGAAAACUCUAGAGAUAGAGCCUUCCCCUUCGGGGGACAAAGUGACAGGUGGUGCAUGGUUGUCGUCAGCUCGUGUCGUGAGAUGUUGGGUUAAGUCCCGCAACGAGCGCAACCCUUAAGCUUAGUUGCCAUCAUUAAGUUGGGCACUCUAGGUUGACUGCCGGUGACAAACCGGAGGAAGGUGGGGAUGACGUCAAAUCAUCAUGCCCCUUAUGAUUUGGGCUACACACGUGCUACAAUGGACAAUACAAAGGGCAGCUAAACCGCGAGGUCAUGCAAAUCCCAUAAAGUUGUUCUCAGUUCGGAUUGUAGUCUGCAACUCGACUACAUGAAGCUGGAAUCGCUAGUAAUCGUAGAUCAGCAUGCUACGGUGAAUACGUUCCCGGGUCU